rnacentral:tRNA from 29 species
GGCCAAGUAGCUCAGUUGGUAGAGCAGAGGACUGAAAAUCCUUGUGUCGGUGGUUCGAUUCCGCCCUUGGCCACCA